UACAGAGGGGGCAAGCGUUAUUCGGAAUUAUUGGGCGUAAAGGGCGCGUAGGCGGCAUGGCAAGUGGAAGGUGAAAUCCCUCGGCUCAACUGAGGAACUGCCCUCCAAACUGCUUUGCUUGAGUCCGGGAGAGGUGAGUGGAAUUCCCAGUGUAGCGGUGAAAUGCGUAGAUAUUGGGAGGAACACCAGUGGCGAAGGCGGCUCACUGGACCGGAACUGACGCUGAGGCGCGAAA
rnacentral:rRNA from 1 species